rnacentral:lncRNA from 1 species
GGAAUUGGAGCAGGAUAAAUGAAUACCAGUGGAACAGAGUCCAAAGACAUACCCAUGCAGAGGUAGAGCCUUGCUGUAUGAUAAAGAUGGCACUACAGAGACAUGGUGGAAAGAAUUAUCUGUUUAAUAAAAGAAAAAUUCUCCGUUCCAAUGGAAAAGCCUCUCCCAGGGAUGCCAGGAAUCUGGGGUGGAUAGAUUGACACACAGCAUGUGAGGACAGCUGCCUUAGGAAUGGCAGAAUAGUGUUCCAUAGUGGAAAAUAGCCCAGCUGCUGAUAUUAACUGCUUGUGCAAGAAUGGCUGAAACGGUGGAAACGUGCCUCCUGAGGGUGUUCCGUGAUGAGAUGAGUGCACAGACUUGAACAAAGCUGGCAGUCUGAUGGGCUGCAAGAACUUCUUGAGAGUACAAGCAGGUCAUUGCUGUGGAGCUUUUCUGUCAUGUGAGAUCUGAGGAAAUUAACUUUCUAUUUUAGAAACCCUUCCCAGCUUUUGUGAUGAAAUCUCCUUUGACCACUAACUUCUCAAAUCCUGAAACUAAUGGAAAUUCCCUCCCACCCUACCCUACCCCCAACUCUAUUUGUCUGAGCAUCAGAGAAAAUUCUCCUGUCUUUCAUUGGUCACCCAUUUGUGUCUAUCUCUCCCAACCGAAAAAAUUCCCAUAGGCUGAUUAAAUAAGUCAAGGUUUACAUAACAACUUAGCUCUCCUAGUCCUUUCUCAGAUGCCUGAUUUAACCCAGACAAACCAAAAACGGAAACCCAAAGGUCACAUACCUGCUGCAUUUUUAUCCCAUUAAAGGAAAAGUCCCCUUUUGUGCUUUUCCCGUGCCAAG